AACGAACGCUGGCGGCAGGCUUAAUACAUGCAAGUCGAGCGGGCACUUCGGUGUCAGCGGCGCACGGGUGCGUAACGCGUGGGAACAUGCCCUUAGGUACGGAACAACCCAGGGAAACUUGUGCUAAUACCGUAUAAUAUCUCCGGAUCAAAGAUUUAUCGUCUAAGGAUUGGCCCGCGUUAGAUUAGGUAGUUGGUGGGGUAAUGGCCUACCAAGCCGACGAUAGAUAGCUGGUCUGAGAGGAUGAUCAGCCACACUGGAACUGAGACACGGUCCAGACUCCUACGGGAGGCAGCAGUAAGGAAUAUUGGACAAUGGGCGAAAGCCUGAUCCAGCCAUGCUGCGUGAGUGAUGAAGGCCUUAGGGUUGUAAAGCUCUUUUAGAUGGGAAGAUAAUGACUGUACCAUCAGAAUAAGCCCCGGCUAAAUUCGUGCCAGCCGCCGCAGUAA
rnacentral:rRNA from 1 species